AAAAAAAGUGCCCACUCCCAAUAGAAACCUCAAAACCCCCUUUUCAUAAAACCUCCCUUCUCUCACGCAGCUUUCGCAGCUCAUUCCCGUCUCUCACGCAACUCUCGCCGCUCACUCUCGUUGCUCAGGCUGCUCUCGUAGGUAUCUCUCUCUCUCUCGCUCUCUCAGGGUUCAGUUUUAGGGAAGAUUUCGAAAACCAAGGCGAGAGAGGGGACAGUUGCAAGAGUACCUUGGUGUGGAUUCUAGGGGUGUUUCUGGGAAGGGAAGUAACUAGGUUAUGGAUUAAAUCUUUAGUGUGUAUUAGCCAAUUCGUAAUGUUACCGGAUCCAAUCCGACCAUGCUACAUUGCAGAAUUGGAGAAGGGGCAGAGUAGAAAGAAAGUGCCUAAAUAAUGAGAAAAACCAUGACCAGAAGCUUUUCUUCCUCCUACUGUACAUGUGUCCCUUCAGCAUGAAGAACUCUCAACUUUGAGAGGAACCUGGAAGGUUCAGGUAGGACUCUUAUCUGGUUGUUACUUAUAUCCAGUUGUUCAAGCAUUUCAAGAUCUCCAAUUGAGCUUGGUAGAGCUGAAAGAUCCGCAAAAUUAUUCCCAACAUUCAAUUUCACAAGACAAGUUGCAGAACACAAGUUCUCAGGUAAAUUUGAAACUUCGUUGAAGCUGAUGUCAAGUUCCUUCAACCUGGAAAGAUUACCAAUGGUAGUAGGUAACCCUGUGAUUCUGUUAUAGUGCAAUGUAAGGAUCUCCAAGCAUUCAAGCUUCCCAAUUGCUUCUGGAAGUGCUUUUAGUUUGUAGUAGUAUUCAUACCAAAAUUUGAGGUUUGUAGUAGUAUUCAUACCAAAA